GAUGAACGCUGGCGGCGUGCCUAAUACAUGCAAGUCGAGCGAACGGACGAGAAGCUUGCUUCUCUGAUGUUAGCGGCGGACGGGGGAGUAACACGUGGAUAACCUACCUAUAAGACUGGGAUAACUUCGGGAAACCGGGGCUACUACCGGAUAAUAUUUUGAACCGCAUGGUUCAAAAGUGAAAGACGGUCUUGCUGUCACUUAUAGAUGGAUCCGCGCUGCAUUAGCUAGUUGGUAAGGUAACGGCUUACCAAGGCAACGAUGCAUAGCCGACCUGAGAGGGUGAUCGGCCACACUGGAACUGAGACACGGUCCAGACUCCUACGGGAGGCAGCAGUAGGGAAUCUUCCGCAAUGGGCGAAAGCCUGACGGAGCAACGCCGCGUGAGUGAUGAAGGUCUUCGGAUCGUAAAACUCUGUUAUUAGGGAAGAACAUAUGUGUAAGUAACUGUGCACAUCUUGACGGUACCUAAUCAGAAAGCCACGGCUAACUACGUG
rnacentral:rRNA from 1 species